rnacentral:rRNA from 1 species
UAUUAUUUAAAAUGUAAAUAUGUAUAUAUUAAUAAACUUAAGUAGUAAUAGUUAUGUUCUUGAAACUUAAAAAAUUUGGCGGUAUUUUAGUCUAUUCAGAGGAACCUGUUUUAUAAUCGAUAAUCCACGAUGGACCUUACUUAAAUUUGUAAUCAGUUUAUAUACCGUCGUUAUAAGAAUAUUUUAUAAGAAUAAUAAUAUUCAAUAAUUUUUAUUAAAAUUUAUAUCAGAUCAAGGUGUAGCUUAUAUUUAAGUAUUAAUGGGUUACAAUAAAUUUAUUUAAAUGGAUAAAAUUAUGAAAAAGUUUUUGAAAGUGGAUUUGAUUGUAAAAUUAUAAAGAUUAAUAAUUUGAUUUUAGCUCUAAAAUAUGUACAUAUCGCCCGUCGCUCUUAUUAUUAAGGUAAGAUAAGUCGUAACAUAGUAGAUGUACUGGAAAGUGUAUCUAGAAUGA